GACGAACCGUGCGAACGUUGUUCGGAUUCACUGGGCUUAAAGGGCGCGUAGGCGGGUCGUCAAGUCGGGGGUGAAAUCUUUCCGCUCAACGGGAAAAGUGCCUCCGAUACUGACGACCUCGAGGGGGGGGUAGGGGCAUGUGGAACUUCCGGUGGAGCGGUGAAAUGCGUAGAUAUCGGAAGGAACGCCGGUGGCGAAGGCGGCUCACUGGCCCGAUACUGACGCUGAUGCACGAAAGCGUGGGGAGCAAACAGG
rnacentral:rRNA from 1 species